rnacentral:rRNA from 1 species
GAUGAACGCUGGCGGCGUGCCUAAUACAUGCAAGUCGAGCGAAUCUUUAGGAGCUUGCUCCUAUUGGUUAGCGGCGGACGGGUGAGUAACACGUGGGCAACCUACCUAUAAGACUGGGAUAACUUCGGGAAACCGUAGCUAAUACCGGAUAAUCCUUUUCCUCUCAUGAGGAAAAGCUGAAAGACGGUUUACGCUGCCACUUAUAGAUGGGCCCGCGGCGCAUUAGCUAGUUGGUGAGGUAACGGCUCACCAAGGCAACGAUGCGUAGCCGACCUGAGAGGGUGAUCGGCCACACUGGGACUGAGACACGGCCCAG